CAAUUCAUGUCAUAGUAAUCUUCAGUUUAAAUUUAGCUUUUAAAUUGUUACAUUUUCAUAUUUUAUCUAUUUACUUAUUUAUUUUAUAUUCACCUAUAUUGACCAUAAAGCUUGCUUCGACUAGAAGUAAUUAAAAGAUCAUCUACCGGAGUCACACGGAGAUAUUCAUGAAUAUUUUAUUAUCAGAGUGCAACAUUUUAUCAAGUUUUUUUUUUUGGUCUUGUGUAAUUAAAUAAAAAGAAAAAAAAACCUAAAAGGGUAUUUUUUACAUCUGGGUUUAAAGAAGUUUGAUAUUAGCAGCGUUUUUAAGAUUUUAAAUUAAUUCCAAAACAGCUAAAUAAGGGACGCGUAGAAAAUGUCACUCAACAGGCAAUUCUAUACUUUCGUUAUUUUAAAAUUAAUUUUAAUAUUUCCUUGUUUUUAUUUAAUUUAUAGAUUAUUUAGUGUUAUCUGAUUAAACUAUUUGUGGCUUGUGUUUUAUUCCCCUGCGCAUUUAGGCAUUUUGCACCCAUGUUCUGUACCUUAUUGAUUCUGACUUCAUUUUGUUUUUAUUUUUUAUUAAAUGUAAAGGUAAAUUCUGAUCUAAUUUAAGUUCUGUAAGUUAUGGAUUGCUUUCCGUUGUGUCGAUGUUGCGCUGUUGCAUGCUGUCACAUUAAAUUUAGCCGAACGUGCUAGGUGCUCUGCGUGAUCGUAUUUAGGGGUUUAUCAAACUAAACAUCAACAAACGGAUUUUUUCGGCAAGUAUAAGUUUUAAAAUGUUUUUAAAAAGGUUGCUUAACUUGUCGAAGGUUGAGCUACAAAACAGGUAAGCAGUUUUUUUUUUUUUUUGGUGAUGACACCAAAAAUAUCUCUACUGAAUCUGACACAAUUGUCUCUCCGGGUUGGUCUCUCUUGUGAUUUAAUAUUAUGGUCGGUGACGGUGUUAACUUUCAAAUGAUAGAAAAGAGAUUCCUGAAACAAAUGUUAUAAGUCGUCAGGUGUUUCAAGUGAAUACAGAGAUGAUCAAAGCAAUCAGAUAUUUCUGUGCAAAAUAAUAAAGCAUAUGUGGCAUGUAGAGAUCGGGAGGUCAUUAUUGGGUAUUAGUUUAUUCAUUGGUUGGGGCCGAUAGAGGGGGUUGGAUUACGCAUAUAUAAACAGCAUACGUGUGGGUGACCCAGACGAGCGUCAUUUCCCGGUAUCCCGUUUCGCUUCCGGCAUAUGGACUGAGGGCUGUUGUUAUCUUGGCUGUGCAGGACGAUUGCUGCAAUUGUAAACAUCUCCGUGGCUGCAGAUAUUGUGGCUUUGACUUCACGGCGGCGUGUCUCAUCUGUUUAUGCGAUCACAUUCAGUCAAUACGAGGCUGCGUAUGGGCGGAUGACGACUGUAUACGCCAAGUUAUUCUCCUCGUGUAUCCUGAGCUCCACCAGCUGAGUGAUUAAACUGAAACUAAAACUUUGCAUUGCCACUAUGGAGUAUUAUCUUCACCUCCACUGAUUCCCGGGUCCCUGUGCCUGUUAUUCGGUAUGUCUCACUCAUGUGGGUUUAUUACAGAAAUGUAUUGUGACGACUGAUUAACAUGAUUAGUUUUCCCCAUGUUAUAGAGUGAUAGGGGUAUGCAGUGACGUCACCGCUGUCUUGUUCCGGGUUGAAUAUUCGCGUUCGUGAACGUGAAUCCCCUUUUGAUACGUUUGUGAAUCCGCUAAUGCGGUGGGAGUGCUUUUGCACUUAUAUGGUCCAGUUAUGUUUUCAGUUGAUUUAUUUGUUGUUUUGGGUUAAUUUUUGUAUUAUUGCCAGCAUACUGGCGUGAACAUAUGUUUUCUUUCUGUUUGUUUCAGUGACAAUUGGUUUUGUUUCUUUAUUCUUUAAUUCAAUUUAAUUUGGUUAAUUUUGUUAUUGUGUGUUUGACAGGCAUUAAGUGUCAGCUGUGUUGCCUGCCUGAACUUUGUAAAUCCUUCUUGUUUCUGUUUGAGUGUGUGUGUGUGUGUGUGGGUGUUUGUGUGUGUGUGCUGUGAUAUUUUGUUUUACAGGAGCUGCAGACCUUUGAUGAAGAGCAGGGCUAAAUAAAGUCUUCCUUUAGGUGGUGAUGGUGUUUCCUCACGGAGUGCUGUGAUUUGCCGUGUGCACUGGGGCUUUUGGAGUGGUGUGAGUUUGCAGUGUACGUAGAGUAAAGGCCUGUACGGCCGGUCAUUUAGCCGAGGCUGCAGCUCCUUGUGUCGUCCUUCUGGACCAUUUGUGUGAUUGUGGUCCCAGUUUAUGCAUCUUGUGAAUGCAUUUUAAAUUUCUUCUGACUUUACAAAUACAAUAAAUACUCUAUUUUUAUACCAGUACCUCUGUCUCCAUUGCCUAUUUGCCACAGAGUGGGGAACUUGUGCAUAAUGUUUUCAAUCAAUUCCUUGGGUGAGAUUCCCAGGGUGGCGUAGUCAGGCAUUAUUAACCCUUUGGGUAACUAACUUAUUCAAAUUUAUUUAAUUCAUAUCUUCCCUCUGCCAUCUGGCCACACAUAUAUAGUGUCUAUAAAAUCAUUAAUUUCAGUGUUUUUUGGUUAUAAAUGAACCGUUUAAGGAAUUGUAUAUAAAGCUUGUUUUUUUAUAAUUUACAGUAACAAAUUAUAUGUAAUUUCUCGUCUUUUAUUUCCCUGCCCGCUAAAUCUCAAAAUGAAAUAAGAUCGCUG